rnacentral:lncRNA from 1 species
AACUCCUGUACUGGUACAUUAUUCUCCACGGCGGUUGAAACAGAACUAAAUGGUGUACUCUUUGCCUUACGGUAACCAUGCAAUACUGGUGGACUUUUCUCCUUACAACUCGAACCUGCAUGCAUAUUGAACUUUUUGAUCGAUGUGGACAAUGAAACAAUUACCUUCUGUUUACCUUUUUCUUUAUUGUGUGGCUUAUGACUUGGAGGCUUUGAAGUGAAAUCAUCAUCUUCGUCAUCAUCUUUG